UCAUGGCUCAGGACGAACGCUGGCGGCGUGCCUAACACAUGCAAGUCGAACGGGGUGAUUCCUUCGGGGAUCACUUAGUGGCGAACGGGUGAGUAACGCGUGAGGAACCUGCCUUUCAGUGGGGGACAACAGUUGGAAACGACUGCUAAUACCGCAUAAUGUAGCGAGACCGCAUGAUCUUGCUACCAAAGCUUUAUGUGCUGAAAGAUGGCCUCGCGUCUGAUUAGCUAGUUGGUGGGGUAACGGCCCACCAAGGCGACGAUCAGUAGCCGGUCUGAGAGGAUGAACGGCCACAUUGGGACUGAGAUACGGCCCAGACUCCUACGGGAGGCAGCAGUGGGGAAUAUUGGGCAAUGGGGGAAACCCUGACCCAGCAACGCCGCGUGAAGGAAGAAGGCCUUCGGGUUGUAAACUUCUUUUACCAGGGACGAAGAACGUGACGGUACCUGGAGAAAAAGCAACGGCUAACUACGUGCCAGCAGCCGCGGUAAUACGUAGGUUGCAAGCGUUGUCCGGAUUUACUGGGUGUAAAGGGCGUGUAGGCGGAGAUGCAAGUUGGGAGUGAAAUCCCGGGGCUCAACCCCGGAACUGCUUUCAAAACUGCAUCCCUUGAGUAUCGGAGAGGCAAGCGGAAUUCCUAGUGUAGCGGUGAAAUGCGUAGAUAUUAGGAGGAACACCAGUGGCGAAGGCGGCUUGCUGGACGACAACUGACGCUGAGGCGCGAAAGCGUGGGGAGCAAACAGGAUUAGAUACCCUGGUAGUCCACGCUGUAAACGAUGAAUACUACGUGUGGGAGGACUGACCCCUUCCGUGCCGCAGUUAACACAAUAAGUAUUCCACCUGGGGAGUACGGCCGCAAGGCUGAAACUCAAGGAAUUGACGGGGGCC
rnacentral:rRNA from 1 species